UGGGGAAUAUUGCACAAUGGGGGAAACCCUGAUGCAGCGACGCCGCGUGAGCGAAGAAGGCUUUCGAGUCGUAAAGCUCUGUCCUAUGAGAAGAUAAUGACGGUAUCAUAGGAGGAAGCCCUGGCUAAAUACGUGCCAGCAGCCGCGGUAAUACGUAUGGGGCGAGCGUUGUCCGGAAUUAUUGGGCGUAAAGGGUACGUAGGCGGUUUUUUAAGUCAGGUGUCAAAGCGUGGAGCUUAACUCCAUUAAGCACUUGAAACUGAAAGACUUGAGUGAAGGAGAGGAAAGUGGAAUUCCUAGUGUAGCGGUGAAAUGCGUGGAUAUUAGGGGGAAUACCGGUGGCGAAGGCGACUUUCUGGACUUUUACUGACGCUCAGGUACGAAAGCGUGGGGAGCAAACAGG
rnacentral:rRNA from 1 species